UGGACAGCAGAUUUAGAAUCUCCUAGUUUAGGGAUCUGAUUGUCUGCUAGCUGGGCCACAGUCAGUAUGUACUGUUAAUCUGGAACAAUCAGGAAAGCCCUGGCUGAUUGAUCUAAACAGGAGAUUCAGAGUCUUCUCAAUUUAGGGGACCGACUCUGUGCUAGCUGGGUCACAGUCAGUGUGUUACUGCUGCUGUUGAUUUCUGCUUUUUUUGUGGAGAAACCUGAUUCCUGGACUGGCUGAAUUAUUAGUGUUUUCACUUUUUGGUGUUUGGGCUGAGCCCCUGUGAGAAAAUGCACCUUUCCAGAUGAGCUAUUCCUAUGGGUAGGCCUGGCCCUUUGGUAGAUGAGGUCUCUGUAAAGAAUGAACACGUGUGUGCUGGGAGGUGAGCAUUUGCUGCGUCCUGGAGUGGGCCAAAAGAUCUCAGAGGGACUGAAUUGUUCUGGCAACAUAAGCUUUUACAAUGAUGGACAAUACGGCUGCAACAGUAGUGAAAAUACUGCUGAGGGAAUUAAUUCCAUGAUACAGACUCUCAGACUAUUAGCUCAGAUAAUGGACCGCACUUUGUGGCCAAAAUUAACCAGGGGAUUUGCAGGGAACUAGCGUUAAAACAACAAUUCCACCGUAACCACUACCCAAAGGUGGCUGGAGUGGUGGAACAGGCAAACGGCACCCUAAAAUACAAGUUGGCAAAGCUAAAACAGGAAUCAGGCCUAAGUUGGAUGAAUGGCCUCCCUCUCGCCCUGUUCCACAUGAGGGUUACUGUUCUAGCAAGACCAGCCUGUCUCUUGCUGAGGUUUACGGGAAGCCCAUGAGGACUUUAUGGGUACCUGGGAGACUCCAACAACCACCCCCACCCCCAGGUACCCAUCCCCACCACGAGAGUCUAGAUAUGAACACUCUAGAUAUGACAGGAGGUGGGGGCGUACCGGCAGGAGCUAACCAAAACUCUCCAGUUUCCAUUCGCAGGGACACCAGGCUUGCAAAGAAAGCGACGAUCUGCCUGAAGGAGACUACCCUGCUGCUGAACUGGGGGACUUCAUCCUGAUAAAGGCCUAGGAACAAAAGAAGGUGGGACCAAGAUGGAAAGGACCAUUACAGGUGCUGCUAACCACUCCCAUGGCUGUGAAAGUACAAGGCCGUCCCUGGUGGAUACACAGAACCAACUGCAAAGAGUCAGAGUGGAAGUAGACAACAACUAAGGACAACGAUGUUUUCCAUACUUGUGACUUUGGGAGAAGGAACCUUGAGAAUAGAUGGAUCUCAAAUUGACUGCCUGCAGCAAUAUUCCUUUUUGCACCUAGCCUAACAGACUGCCCGCUAACAGGGAGAGACACCUGCUGCUGGGUAUGUGCCCCCCAAUUGGUGGAGGAAUCCCUUUGUGGCCCUUACCUUUUUGAUGGCACAAACUGGCCGAAUCACUACUGUGUCGAAGCUCCUCUGAUGACCUUGCUAACACCAAUAACGCACAAGAGUCAGCAGGGUAUAACCUGACAUCAUUCAGGGGCUGGUAUCACCCUAAUUACAACCAAUCCCAUAGACACCCCCCCCCCCCUCCUUGUAGUUCUCAACAACGCCAUGGCCUAAACCAUUUGUUUCAGGUGGGAGGCGAAACUCACCAAAGGCACUUAUGUGGGAAUGAGUGAAUGCUCCUCUACCAUCCCCUGGGCCAAACCUAUUCGAACUUAAUAGAACAGAACCUCAUGCCACCUCUGGAAUAAUCCUGCUCCCAGGCUGGGUGGGGGCACUGGUUUAUAACGGUACAUAUUUCAUUAGCAGGUUGAAAGAUUGGGAGGGAUCGUGCUACCUGGGGUAUGUUGUACCUCGCAUUUGAGUUUUGGGCAACCUGCCCUCAUUUGAGUUCCAGAAGGUCCCUCGCCAAGUUCUUCACCUGAGUAGGUAUGAUCAAAAGGAGGGUGUUCUGUCUGCAUUGUAUCUUAGAAAUAGAACCUAAUGGAGCCACACAUGUGGAUUCCCCUGUAACCCCAGAUGGAGGAAUUUGCCCUUUCCAGACAAGACUGAUAGUCCUGGCCACAACCCUGUUAAAAUGCCUCCUGCUCCCAUUGUCUUUCUUCCCCUCCAUAUUAGCAUAGGUAUGUGAAUCUCCCAUUUACUAAAAGAAGAACCCUUCUGCCUUAAUCUCUUCCCAUCAACACAUAAUCAUAAACAAUACGAUAUUCUGUAAUCAAUUUACAUGUUAUCGCAGGACAUUGACAUUCAUCAAGCUUUGCAAAUUCAUAAUUAUCUACUUUAAACUAUGUAAUGACAAGCGCCCAUGUGACUGAUAUGCUUUAGUCUAAUUCCUAUAAAAUAUACUGUCUCUGUGUUUAAGGUAGAGAUUUGCGAAGAAGAGUCACUACAAGUAGACACUUGGCUACUUUAGGGACUCUUUGAAUCUCUCACCGGCUGUGCGAUAAUAAAGUUACUGCUUUUGUACAGAAA